ensembl:snRNA U6 U6 spliceosomal RNA
GUGUUCACUUUGGCAGCACAUAUACUUAAGUUAGAACAAUACAGAGAAGAUGAGCUUAGCCUCAUGCAAGGAUGACAUGCAAAUUCAUGAAAUAUUCCAUAUUUUA